UGAGUGUUGACACACCGAAAUUCAGGAGGCUUCUGAACCCCGCAAAACAGGGGUCUGACAGAUCUGUCAGGGCACACCUGCUUUAGGGGACCGGCCUUCCUACCAGGAAUGCUCAUUUUUAAAAGCUUUCAAGAGCCAUCUUCCGUGUACACCUAACGUUUAAAGAAGGGGUUUAUUUUCAGGGCUGAUUUGUCCGGGCGCCUUGGGCGGCCCCGCUGUCCCGCGGGGCGCAGGAGCGCGGUGGGGCCGCGGCUCUGCCGGGCAGGGCUCGGGGGGGCUGCCCUUGCCAGGCGGGACCGGCAGCCCGAGCACUGCCAGAACACAACAGCCUGUGUAAUUGUUGCUCUCAAGUGAGCACCGGGUGCUUCCUGGCUCUGGCUGCUCUCGCUGCUCGUGUCUGUGUUAUGCAGGCGUCUGCUCUGCCGAGCAGGGCUUUGCGAGAAGACAGAAGAGGUUUGAUUGACCCUGUUGGGAGCGUGAGCUGUGGGCUCUGUGGAUGCUUUGCUGUGACGGAGGGCCGAGGGCUGACCAAGUCGUGGGGAGGAUUUGUAUGUGGGAAGAGAGGAGAUGGCUGUGCAGCGUGCUCCCGAAUCUGCUCUGAGCUUGCUGAUGGUCUCAAUUGCAUUCAAGUUGAGCUUUUACCAAGUGCCAUACAGAAUCCAACACCACAUGUAUGUUAACUGCAUUUCAACUCAGAGACAGAUGAAGCAUCAUAUGAGAAAAGGCUCAUUUAAAUUCUGUGUUAUAAUGGAGUGACAGAUCCAUACAGUAAAAAUCAUGAGUAAUUUUCCUUCCCUAAUGAUUCUGGCUUAAAAACAUGUUAACAGAAAGGUUGUGUUUUGUUGUGUUAAAAUUUUGUAUUUUUCAUCUGCAUUUUGGAAUUCCACAUUUGAAAGCUUAUUCCUCAAGAACAAAGGUUGGAAACUUUAAUUCCAUGCUUUCCAGUUUUAAAAAAAGAUGAGGCACAAAACUGAAGGGCACAGAUUAUAUGUUUAAAAUACAGGGAGUUCCAUCCUGCUGUGUGCUUCACCAAAGAAAAUACCUGCUAUAAGCUGUAUAUAGGCCAUGUUCUGUUUAUCCUACCCUGUUCCCUAACAGACUGUAUGGAGCUGUCUCAACUGUGUCAGAGGCAGGAGAGUUCCCAGCUCCAUAAUAAACUUUGGUCUAUCACAUAUUUUACCCCA
rnacentral:lncRNA from 1 species